rnacentral:lncRNA from 1 species
CUGCAAUCCAAGGACUUCCAUGGCAAACAUUCCAGUCCUGAAUCUACGCUUGGUCACCGGGCGACCUCUGCAGGUCAACUGUUAACCACCCAAAGACUGUCUGAGAUAUCUCAUUCCCUUCAAGGCACAGAAAUAAGACUGACCUAAGCAUGCCAUCACCUUAAACUCCAUGAGCAGCCAAACCUCCAAGACCACCCCAGACGAUGGCUGUUGUCUCUGAGAGCAAGGCUGCACCCUGGAGCCCAAGUAACCAUCCCGAAGGACCUCUUUGCCCCCUCAAGCAAGAAGGACUUCUGUAGAGCAUCUGGCAGGACCAGAACCGAGACAAGGAUUAAAGAGCCCACACCUAGACGAUGCUUAAUACCUACCUCCUGCUCCUUGUCCCUGUUCUACUUAGACCUAAAGUUGGUUUCAGCUCCCCUAAAAUGGACUUGCAGUC